GGGGAUGUGGCUCAGUGGUAGAGUUCUUGCCUUCUAUGCAUAAGGCCCUGGGUUUGAACCCCAGCACCACAA
rfam:Cavia porcellus supercont2_22 genomic scaffold, whole genome shotgun sequence.